rnacentral:rRNA from 1 species
AAAACAUCUUCUCUUGAUUUAUUAAUUUGAGAUAGUUCCUGCCCAAUGAUUUAUUUAAUGGCCGCGGUAUUUUGACCGUGCAAAGGUAGCAUAAUCAUUAGCUUAAUAAUUGUAAGCUUGUAUGAAUGGUAUGACGAAACAUUAACUGUCUCUUUAUAAUUAUAUAAUUUAAAUUUUGAGUUAAAAUGCUUAAAUUUUAUUAUUGGACGAGAAGACCCUAUAGAUCUUUAUUAUAUUUUAUUUUAAAUUUUUUAGUUUGUUUUUUUAUAAUUUAUUUUAUAAUUUUGUUGGGGUGACAUGGAGAUAUAAUAAACUCAUUAUUUAAAUUUACAUUGAUAUAUGAAUAAUUGACCUUAUUUUAUUGUUAAAAGAUUUAGAUACCUUAGGGAUAACAGCGUAAUUUUAUUUAAGAGUUCAUAUUGACAAUAAAGAUUGCGACCUCGAUGUUGAAUUAAGAUAAUAUUUUGGUGUAGCAGCUAUAAUAAUAGGUCUGUUCGACCUUUAAAUUCUUACA